GACGAACGCUGGCGGCGUGCUUAACACAUGCAAGUCGAACGGAAAGGCCCUGCUUGCAGGGUCCUCGAGUGGCGAACGGGUGAGUAACACGUGGGUGAUCUGCCCUGCACUUCGGGAUAAGCCUGGGAAACUGGGUCUAAUACCGGAUAGGAGCCAUUUUUAGUGUGAUGGUUGGAAAGUUUUUUCGGUGUAGGAUGAGCUCGCGGCCUAUCAGCUUGUUGGUGGGGUAAUGGCCUGCCAAGGCGGCGACGGGUAGCCGGCCUGAGAGGGUGGACGGCCACAGUGGGACUGAGAUACGGACCAGACUCCUACGGGAGGCAGAAGUGGGGAAUAUUGCACAAUGGGAGCAAGCCUGAUGCAGCGACGCCGCGUGGGGGAUGACGGCCUUCGGGUUGUAAACUCCUUUCGCUAGGGACGAAGCUUUUUGUGACGGUACCUAGAUAAGAAGCACCGGCUAACUACGUG
rnacentral:rRNA from 1 species